rnacentral:tRNA from 1 species
GGCGUCGUGGCGGAGUGGUUACGCAGCGGAUUGCAAAUCCGUGUAUACCGGUUCGAUUCCGGUCGACGCCUCCA